UGGUGGAGUGAUUUGUCUGGUUAAUUUCGAUAACGAGCGAGACCUCAGCAUACUAAUUAGAUAUGAGAAUCUCAUGAUUCUUCAUUCAAUAUCUUCUUAGAGGGACUAUCGGUGCGUAGCCGAUGGAAGGUUGAGGCAAUAACA
rnacentral:rRNA from 1 species